rnacentral:rRNA from 1 species
GACGAACGCUGGCGGCGUGCUUAACACAUGCAAGUCGAACGGAAAGGCCCUGCUUGCAGGGUACUCGAGUGGCGAACGGGUGAGUAACACGUGGGUGAUCUGCCCUGCACUUCGGGAUAAGCCUGGGAAACUGGGUCUAAUACCGGAUAGGAGCCAUUUUUAGUGUGAUGGUUGGAAAGUUUUUUCGGUGUAGGAUGAGCUCGCGGCCUAUCAGCUUGUUGGUGGGGUAAUGGCCUACCAAGGCGGCGACGGGUAGCCGGCCUGAGAGGGUGGACGGCCACAUUGGGACUGAGAUACGGCCCAGACUCCUAAGGGAGGCAGCAGUGGGGAAUAUUGCACAAUGGGCGCAAGCCUGAUGCAGCGACGCCGCGUGGGUGAUGACGGCCUUCGGGUUGUAAACUCCUUUCGCUAGGGACGAAGCUUUUUGUGACGGUACCUAGAUAAGAAGCACCGGCUAACUACGUG